AGUCGAGCGAGAUCGAGUCGGAGCUUAGCUUCAUGAUUCAGCGGCGGACGGGUGAAUAAUGCCUAUUAAUCUGCCUGGUAGUGGGGGACAACGUUUCGAAAGGAACGCUAAUACCGCAUACGUCCUACGGGAGAAAGCAGGGGACCUUCGGGCCUUGCGCUAUCAUAUGAGCCUAGGUCGGAUUAGCUAGUACGAGAGGUAAUGGCUCACCUAGGCGACGAUCCGUAACUGGUCUGAAAGGAUGAUCAGUCACCCUGGAACUGAGACACGGGCCAGACUCCUACGGGAGGCAGCAGUGGGGAAUAUUGCACGAUGGGCGAAAGCCUGAUCCAGCCAUGCCGCGUGUGUGAAGAAGGUCUUCGGAUUGUAAAGCACUUUAAGUUGGGAGGAAGGGCAGUAAGUUAGUACCUUGCUGUUUUGACGUUACCGGCACAAUAAUCACCGGCUAACUUCGGGCCAGCAGCCGCGGUAAUACGAAUGGUGCAAGCGGUUUUCCCAAUUACUGUGUCGUAUAGAGCGCGCGACCUGGGUCCCCCCGUA
rnacentral:rRNA from 1 species